AAGAACGGUCAAAACUCUCGGCCAUGCGUGCAUCGGUGAUGAUCGUGGCCCAUCUCCGGUGCAGGACUGGGUCAGCUUUGCUAAUCGUGUCGUCGGCGCAUUGCCGCCGCCUCGUUCUUCGCCAUAUAGUUGAGUGACGGAAAAUUCGAGUGGCCUGAUGAAUAGCAAACCCGGAAAACUCUGGCCUAAUAGAUAAGUUUGUGGUGACAGAAUUAACUUUCCCGUAGAGCUCUCGCGACCGCGCCGUCCCCCGCGGGCGGCCGGGCCACGCUCCCCUGCCUUCUUCCCCAACCACCGCCCCCACUCUCCCUCCUCCCUCCGUCGCCGACGUGCGUCGUCCGACUCGGCCCAGGUGGCGCCGCCGGCGGCGGCGCGCUGCUUUUCCCCUCCCGGUGACGUUCCUACGCGGGGCGGAGCGACGUUGGGCGGUGUCCCCAGGGCACAGUGGUUCGGCGCGGCGACAGGGUGACCUGGCACUUGUGCCGGGGGGUUGAUUGCGCGGCGGCGCCAUUGUUAGCGGCGGAUCUUCGCGGCUGCGGGGUGGCGGCGCCCGCUCGGCCAGAUCUGGGCCCUCUCGGGCCCCAUCUGGGUUGGGGCGGGCCGGCGGCUUCUUCUUCGGAGGCGGGGAUGGGGCGUAGGGAAGCUGGGUGGCGGCGGCGUCGCUGCCGACUGGCUGCAGCGGGGUGGCAGCGACUUUGCGGGCCCGAGAUGGGCUCGGACGGGCCCGGGUGGCCUGGUGUGCCCCUGCUGCCGCGUCCGGCCGGCCACCGCGACGGUGCGGGAAGCACAGGCAUCCCACACGACAGCGGGGGAGCAGAGUGGCGACAGAAUUCAUCGUGAGCCAGAUUGAUGUAGCGCCUCUUCAAUCUUUCCAGCUGAAACCAGGAACUGGGAACAACCUUGUGCCGACCGUGACAUCCUUGUCUUGGGAGACAUCCACCACCUGGACCCCGGCAUCAGCAGCGAUGGAGAGAACACAAAACACAUCAUGCGACAGGUGCAACACGCGCUGAUUGAGGAUCCGCAGGCAACGUAGCUCAGCAAUCCAUUCGGGAACUAAAUAUGAUGCACUGUCCUGAAUUUUCUUUACGACGACGGUUGUUGUCGUUUGUAUCUUAACACCAAAAUGGUAGAGGCACUGUCCUCAACUUUUAGGAUACCAGCUGUUAUUUGUAUCUUUGAGUGGCUAAUUUCAAACUGAAAACGGGAUUGUUACCUGCCCAUAUAUCUUUGUCCCCAUUUUAGAAGUAGA